UUUUAAAAAGUAUGCCUUACUGCUGACAAAUACCUUUUGUUCAGUAGGGAGGUAAAAAUAAUAUCCCUUUGUUUCCUUAGAGUAUCUUACAAAAUUAUACUUAUCAGAUCUAGGUCCGAGCUUAUCAAUUUGUAAUCAUUUGACAUAAGCCGGACACCCCCAAACCUUAAAGUAAGCGAGGUUCGGCCCCUGACCAUAUCUUAUCUGGUAUUUUACUAACUAACUUGCUCGAAAUAUUAUUAAGCACAAAAUAGGCUGUCUCAAGUGCAUAUCUCUAAAAGGAGAUCGGCAGACUUGUAAACCCCAUCA
rnacentral:lncRNA from 1 species